GGGGAUGCAGGGCAUCGAUAAUAAUUUUUUCUAAGAAUAUUCGAAACGUGUGUUUCAGUUGCCACGUAAAUCACGCUGAAAUAAAAUAAGUGCUAAAAAUGUACUAGUCAAAGCAAAAGCUGCUUUCAGCAUGCCAAGCUUUGCACCUGUUGCCGCUUAAAAAAGCGCGCAGCCAUCCACGACAGUAACACCUAAUAGCUGUUUCGGGUGUCAUCUAAAUUAGGUUAGACGCGGGGAAAGUUCUCGACCUUGUGUUCGAAACCCAGAGAGCUAGUUAUUACUGAUUUUGCUUGGUUUUUACGGUAAUAAUGAAAUAUCAAACCAAACUACUUUCGUAAAUAUAUUUUUGGAUCAUUAUUAGACGCGAGUUCAACUCUCGCCAUCUCCACUU
rnacentral:tmRNA from 1 species